rnacentral:rRNA from 1 species
CGAAACUACAAAGGAAGUUCGACGGGGGCCCGGCACAAGCGGUGGAGCACGUGGUUUAAUUCGAAGCAACGCGAAGAACCUUACCAGCCCUUGACAUACCGGUCGCGGACACAGAGAUGUGUCUUUCAGUUCGGCUGGACCGGAUACAGGUGCUGCAUGGCUGUCGUCAGUUCGUGUCGUGAGAUGUUGGGUUAAGUCCCGCAACGAGCGCAACCCUCGCCCUUAGUUGCCAGCAUUUAGUUGGGCACUCUAAGGGGACUGCCGGUGAUAAGCCGAGAGGAAGGUGGGGAUGACGUCAAGUCCUCAUGGCCCUUACGGGCUGGGCUACACACGUGCUACAAUGGUGGUGACAGUGGGCAGCGAGCACGCGAGUGUGAGCUAAUCUCCAAAAGCCAUCUCAGUUCGGAUUGCACUCUGCAACUCGAGUGCAUGAAGUUGGAAUCGCUAGUAAUCGCGGAUCAGCAUGCCGCGGUGAAUACGUUCCCGGGCCUU